AUGGCACACAUCCAUCCAUCCAUCCAUUCACAUCCAUCCAUCCAUCCAUCCCACACCACAGUGACCCUAUCUCCCACUCCCUCCGCUCCUUCCUCCCAAACCCCAACUGCCCCGAUUCAGAUCCCCCUUGCAGCCGCACCUCUCCCUCUCUGCCACACCUCUCCCCUCGCCGCCGCCUCCCUCUCCGCCACCCACCUCUUCCCUCGCCACCGGUCUGCCACAUCCGGCACCGUCGAGGCCAGUGGGCGCUGGAUCCGGCACCGGCAUGGCCCCUCCAUCAGCAACUCGAACAGGGGGGCUGCGGCGCCAUGGCUUCCUCCAACCCCAUGGCGUGGGCCCGAGUCACACGCUGGCCUCGGCUGGGUCCCGGGCGAGCAGCCGGGCGGGAUGAUGCUGAUGGCGCUGCGUCUGCGGCCCCCGACCAUCCCGCCGGCGCUACGGCCCGCGGAGGCGGCCGCCCGCAAGGUGUUGCUACGACUACACCCAACGGAGGAGGCAGAGCAGUGCCGGCACAGGGUCCAGAUCGAGGCGGGGUCCUUCUUCCUCCGUGUGCUUCUGUUCGGACGCCAUGUGAGUGCUAGAGAGGCCACAACGCAGCUGCUCCCACGUCAAGGUCGGUUCUAUGCCUUCGAGAAGGCCCAUCGCCUCGACCCCACCUCCAGCGGCGCUGGAGUUCACCUUGUCGGCCGACAACUACAGGCUCAUGGAGGAGGUCUGCUUCGGUGCAAAGAGAAAAUGUGUUGUGGAUGUGUCCAGCUGGUCUGUGUUAAGCUGGGAAGAUCCAUCCAUUUAUAG
rnacentral:rRNA from 1 species